CCUACGGGAGGCAGCAGUAGGGAAUCUUCCACAAUGGGCGCAAGCCUGAUGGAGCAACGCCGCGUGGGUGAAGAAGGUCUUCGGAUCGUAAAACCCUGUUGUUAGAGAAGAAAGUGCGUGAGAGUAUCUGUUCACGUUUCGUAGGUAUAUAACCAGAAAGCCACGGCUAACUACGUGCCAGCAGCCGAGGUAAUACGUAGGUGGCAAGCGUUAUCCGGAUUUAUUUGACGUAAAGGGAACGCAGGCGGUCUUUUAAGGCUUAUGUGAAAGCGUUCGGCUUAACCGGAGUAGUGCAUUGGAAACUGGGAGACUUGAGUGCAGAAGAGGAGAGUGGAACUCCAGGUGUAGCGGUGAAAUGCGUAGAUAUAUGGAAGAACACCAGUGGCGAAAGCGGCUCUCUGGUCUGUAACUGACGCUGAGGUUCGAAAGCGUGGGUAGCAAACAGGAUUAGAUACCCCAGUAGUC
rnacentral:rRNA from 1 species